ACCCACUGCCAUCAAUCUAUCUACUGCUGUCAAUCUACCUACCACUGCCAAUCUAUCUAUCACUGCUAAUCUAUCACUGCUAAUCUAUCACUGCUAAUCUAUUGCUGCUAAUCUAUUGCUGCUAAUCUAUCACUGUCAAUCUAUCUACCACUGUCAACCUACCUACCGCUGCCAAUCUAUCUAUCACUGCCAAUCUAUAUAGGGUAAAUCAUGGUUCCAUUUGGUCUCAUUUUGUAAAAUGAAACCAAAUGAGAUCAGAAUCACUAAUUUAUUAGUAAAAUAUGAUCUGAGACUAGAUUUAUAAUAUAAACAGUGUAAAGUGACUAAUUUGCUAAACACUAUAUGAGACC
rnacentral:sRNA from 2 species